rnacentral:rRNA from 1 species
UAGGGAAUAUUGGACAAUGGGGGCAACCCUGAUCCAGCCAUGCCGCGUGAGUGAAGAAGGCCCUCGGGUUGUAAAGCUCUUUUGUCCGGAAAGAAAAGCUUCGGGUUAAUACCCCGGGGUUCUGACGGUACCGGAAGAAUAAGCACCGGCUAACUUCGUGCCAGCAGCCGCGGUAAUACGAAGGGUGCAAGCGUUACUCGGAAUUACUGGGCGUAAAGCGUGCGUAGGUGGUUGUUUAAGUCUGAUGUGAAAGCCCUGGGCUCAACCUGGGAAUGGCAUUGGAAACUGGGCAGCUAUAGUGCGGUAGAGNGUAGUGGAAUUCCCGGUGUAGCAGUGAAGGGCGUAGAGAUCGGGAGGAACAUCUGUGGCGAAGGCAACUGCCUGGACCAGCACUGACACUGAGGCACGAAAGCGUGGGGAGCAAACA